rnacentral:rRNA from 1 species
AAUAGAUACCCUGGUAGUCCACGCCGUAAACGAUGAGUGCUAAGUGUUAGAGGGUUUCCGCCCUUUAGUGCUGAAGUUAACGCAUUAAGCACUCCGCCUGGGGAGUACGGCCGCAAGGCUGAAACUCAAAGGAAUUGACGGGGGCCCGCACAAGCGGUGGAGCAUGUGGUUUAAUUCGAAGCAACGCGAAGAACCUUACCAGGUCUUGACAUCCUCUGACAACCCUAGAGAUAGGGCUUCCCCUUCGGGGGCAGAGUGACAGGUGGUGCAUGGUUGUCGUCAGCUCGUGUCGUGAGAUGUUGGGUUAAGUCCCGCAACGAGCGCAACCCUUGAUCUUAGUUGCCAUCAUUCAGUUGGGCACUCUAAGGUGACUGCCGGUGACAAACCGGAGGAAGGUGGGGAUGACGUCAAAUCAUCAUGCCCCUUAUGACCUGGGCUACACACGUGCUACAAUGGACGGUACAAAGAGUCGCGAGACCGCGAGGUGGAGCUAAUCUCAUAAAACCGUUCUCAGUUCGGAUUGUAGGCUGCAAC